rnacentral:rRNA from 1 species
AUGCGGCUCGUUGGAGCGUGCGUCGAGGCAACUCUUUCAACUCCGACGGAAGCAGAGCCGGCGCUACAAUGGAACUUCGCCGGAGUUGCAAUGGAACUUCGUUGGAGCUGCAAUGGAGUUCGCCGGACGCCGUCGAUGCUACGUUGGAGCUCUGCCGGAGUUGCAAUGGAGCUUCGCCGGACUACAUCGGUGCUACGUUGGAGCUCCGUCCGGGCUGCAAUGGAGCUUCGCCGAACGACGUCAGUGCUUCGUUGGAGCUCCGUCGGGGCUGCAAUGGAGCUUCGCCGGACGUUGUCAGCUUGUCGGGGCUGCAUUGGAGUUAUUGCCGGGCCGUGCUGUGCUACAGUGAAGCUUUGA